rnacentral:snoRNA from 1 species
GGUCAAUGAUGUUACCUGGCAUGUAUUAGCUGACUUCAAAGCUGAAGAUAAAAUUCUUUAGCUCUAGAAUUACACUGAGACCUA